rnacentral:tRNA from 1 species
GCCUUCGUGGUCUUGUGGUCAGCACGCUCGACGCGUAACCGAGAGGUCCGUGGUUCGAUUCCCGGCGAAGGCG